rnacentral:rRNA from 1 species
UACGAAGGGGGCUAGCGUUGCUCGGAAUUACUGGGCGUAAAGAGCUCGUAGGCGGCUUGUUGCGUCAGCUGUGAAAACCCGCAGCUCAACUGUGGGCUUGCAGCUGAUACGGGCAGGCUUGAGUUCGGUAGGGGAGACUGGAAUUCCUGGUGUAGCGGUGAAAUGCGCAGAUAUCAGGAGGAACACCGGUGGCGAAGGCGGUUGCCUGGGGCUUUGCUGACGCUGAUGCGCGAAAGCGUGGGGAGCGAUCCGG